UCCAUUAAGAUCAAAGACUUCAAGUGUACCAAAGAAUAGUAAUGAGGUUGGUACUGGUGAAUAUGAAGUUUCGAGGAUUGUUGAUGUCUGCUUUGGUGAUCCUAAUAAGACAGGCAAGCAUGGAGUGAACUUUAAGGUGCAUUGGAAAGGUUAUGGUAGCAGUGAAGAUACAUGGGAACCAAUUGAAGGCUUAAGUAACUGCCAAGAAAGUAUACAGGAUUUUGUAAGAAAUGGGA